ACACAUAGUGACAAUGGUUACAAUGAUAAUUUCAUUAAUUCCUGGAAUGCAGAUUAAUAAUAUUUGAAUAAAUGAAUGCAGGAACCCACUAAUACUUUAUAAACGUGAGGGUGUUCUUGAAUUGUCCUCUUUAUGAACUAUAAAAUGAUUUUCUCAGUAUUACGUGGUAUUACACAAUAGGCUGAAAUAGGGUAGACUGAGUGAUAUAUGCACACACAUUAGCUGUCCCUACUCCCUAUUAUACAAGGUAGAGUUGUGAGGGCUGAGGAUGUCACUUGAGACAGAGAUCAUGAGACCCUCCCAUUGGAAUCUGAACACAAGGUGACAGAGACAUUUGAGCGACAAGGUUUAAACAGCGAUGUGGAUCACCAGGUUUGGGCAUUGAGCUAUUGCCCAGAAAGUGGACCAGCAUGCAAGACAUGCCACCUGCAUGUUUAGACGGAGAAUUGCCUGACGGCAAAUGGAAGGUUACUUAUACAGGGGCGUGUCUAAAGGGAUGGUACCGCCCCCCAACUCCAUCAGGCUAGAGUACUGUCAAUCUGACAAUGCCCAACACCGUUGGAUCAGAGCGCUGUCAAUCGCUGCUUGAUUUGUGACGUACCACAGCACCACAUUUUUCAAACAAGAGGAGAGACGACUCCGCCACAGACCACGUCUCUUUUCAUGAUAUACCCAGUGAUGAAAGCUCCCACCAAACCUCAGAGGGAGAAGAGGACCAGUCUCUGUCUCUGAGCAGGCUUUGCAGCAGAAGUGGUUCAGAUUCCAAAGGUGACAGUGACAGAGAGCACCGUCUAGUUAACCCACAUUAACAGACACAAGCUCAGAACAUGGAGUGCAGAGAACACACACACUGCAGUGUUUGUGUUGAGAAUAAAACAAGUUAAAUGAAUAAUUAGUGUCUGUGAUGUUUUUUAUUUAGUAGAACAGAAAUGUGUUGUCCUCUCCAUGCAAAACAGUUAUUCAAUACAAAAUGAUUUCCAGGCUCUUGUGCAGUGCCACUUUUCAGGACACUGCACAAGAGCCUGGAAAUCGUGCCCAAUGUUUUCUAAGCCAGUAUUUAUUUCUGAUAGAAUUUUCACUUCAUUAUUUUAAUUACUUUAUCGUUUCAUUUGGACUGCAAUUUGAAUUUAGAAAUGUAUUUGAUUUGUUUUUUGUGAUUUAAUUUUUAAAAAUAAAUAAAUUAAAUUUUCAAUGCAAAAUCACAAAGCAAGAAUAUUCACCAAUCCCUCAGCCGGGGGGUUACCGAUGUAAUUGGAUAUUGCAAUAUAUAUAUAUAUAUAUAUAUAUAUAAUCUCGUGAAGGAGGGAACAGAACAAAUUUAUUCACACUCAUGAUGUAUUUUCCCAGACAACUUAAUGCCUGACCGGUAGAGAAUGCAUGGAUGAAGUAGGUUCUUUGCCAGAGAGAUGUUGUCCUUCACAGCUGUUGUAAAGCCAUCUUUCAAAAAGUUGAA